GACAGAGGGUGCAAACGUUGUUCGGAAUUACUGGGCGUAAAGCGUGUGUAGGCGGUCCUCUAAGUCGGGCGUGAAAUCCCUGGGCUCAACCCAGGAACUGCACUCGAAACUACUAUUCUUGAGUGUCGGAGAGGAAAGCGGAAUUCCUGGUGUAGAGGUGAAAUUCGUAGAUAUCAGGAGGAACACCAGUGGCGAAGGCGGCUUUCUGGACGAUAACUGACGCUGAGACGCGAAAGCGUGGGGAGCAAACAGG
rnacentral:rRNA from 1 species